rnacentral:rRNA from 1 species
GGGAAUAUUGCGCAAUGGAGGAAACUCUGACGCAGUGACGCCGCGUAUAGGAAGAAGGUUUUCGGAUUGUAAACUAUUGUCGUGAGGGAAGAAAUUGACAGUACCUCAGGAGGAAGCUCCGGCUAACUAUGUGCCAGCAGCCGCGGUAAUACAUAGGGAGCAAGCGUUAUCCGGAUUUACUGGGUGUAAAGGGAGCGUAGGCGGCUGUGUAAGCCAGAAGUGAAAGCCCGAGGCUCAACCACGGGACUGCUUUUGGAACUACAUGGCUUGAUUGCAGGAGAGGCAAGUGGAAUUCCUAGUGUAGCGGUGAAAUGCGUAGAUAUUAGGAGGAACACCAGUGGCGAAGGCGGCUUGCUGGACUGUAAAUGACGCUGAGGCUCGAAAGCGUGGGGAGCAAACAG